GUUUGAACCUAGGUGCCAGAAACAGUUUUGGCUUAAUGUAGUCAGAAACACAACUUUGAUUAAUUAUUUAUUCCCAGUGAUUUGUGUGUAGAGAAUUCUUAUCUAUGUACCUCCCUAGCAUACAAUUACACUGAGAUUUUGGUUAGAAAAUGGACUUUUCUUUGGGAAAAACAUUCUAACUAUCUAUAUUCAUUCUUAACAAUAAAGUAUAGUUACUCAGUAAACAUAGUGAAGAGUCUCCAGUAAAUUCUUCCAGUGUAAAUAUGGAUUGUUUUGUGAUCCUGGCACCUAUCUUUACAGUUUUGUUGAGUUUUUGGGUAUGUUUAUCGUUUGAGAGGGAUUUCAUUUUAAUUAUCUGUGUAGCCUAUUUUGCAUUCAUUUGCUCAUAUUUUAGAUUAAUUUCUCUUUUUAUACACUCCAAGUUUUAUUGCAGUAAUACUCACAGUAUCUAAGUUACAGAACACACCUGAAAGAUUUGAGGUUAAUUUCUAUAUCAAUAUGUAGAGUAUGGCAAAGAUUUGGAUUUAUCUUGACUAACUAUUUAUUAAGUGUAGAUAGGGAAUAAAAUCUCUGUAUACUCCAAAACUUGAGCUAUGCUUUCCAUUCUUCCUUUGCUAUGUUGUGCAACAAAGCCUCAAAAUUGUGGGAUCUCUAAAUACAUUUUUAUAUGUACAAGAAACAUUGAAACUGUGUUGCCUAUGGUCUAUAAACAUUCUAGGUGAAUGUCAUGCUUUGUUGUUAGAGUUAGAUUCAUUUUUUAAUUAAUAGAUAUUGGAAGAUAGUUAUGUGUUCCCUCAAAGAUAAGCAUCAUCUCCCAGAUGCUUUGUGCCUGACAAACAAUCUUUGUCAGUAGAUAAAUGAGGACUGUAGAAGAGGUGCCGUGGAGGCACAAACUAGUGUGUUUCACAUUAGAAAUAGCUUUGUGAGCUUUGGCAUAGGAACAGAAAAGGCUUUGAGUGAUCCACAUUAUAAUAGAGGGAGUAUAAACUUAGAUGGGACUAGUGGGAAGAAAGAGAAGCGUGCAAGAGAGGAAGCAUUGGAGAAUACUAGGAAUAGUUUCAAAUGAGUUUCCAGGAGGGGACAUUUGACAGUGUUUGAUGUGAUACAUAACUGUUCCUGCAAGAGUAGUAUGCAGUAAGGAUAGUCUAAUGAAGAAUCAAGAGGUACAGAUUCUGACACUGAAUGUGAUAAUAUUGUAAAGGAGAUUCCCUGGGUGUGAGUCACUACAAAGAAGUUCCUUAGGGAUAGCCAGUGUUGCCCACCCAUGUGUGAGCAUAGCACCUAUGACUAGACUAACUGACAAAUUAUGGAUGUACUGAUCUAUGUUGAUUUUGUCUGAUCCUGUCUGAUCUCCACAGCUAAACAGGGUUGGGCUUGAUUAGUACUUGUAUGGGAGAAAAGCUUGAAACCUUAAUACUGUGCUGAAUGCCAAUUGGGCAUUAAGUAGAUGUAAUCUCGAAAUUAAUUGGAGAAUUUGAGCAGCAAGGUAUAGAUAUGUAGAAAGAGGCAUUAAGUUAAAGAAUAUGUGGCUAGAAUUAGAAGUGAGUAAUUACAUUGUACUUCUUAUAGUGAAAGAUAUUAAGGGAGUCGUCCUGCAUAGAUUCAUUGCAUAUAGCAGAAAUGGAGAACUUGAAAUGAAAUCAAACUUUGGGCUUCUGGGACAUGAGAGGUGUGCAAUAUAAUUGUUGUUAUACAAAAAGAGUGAGAUGAUUAUCCUAAGGUAGUUCAAUGUUCUUGUGGGUGAGCCUCAAAAUGAUGAAAAUUAAUGGCUCAUUUAUAAUGGUAUUUGUACAAGUUCCUGUUUUGAGUAUGAAGAUCAAUGCCUAACUCAAGCAAUUUUGGUGAGAGUUUUAUUUCAGUUCUUUUUAAUUAGGAAGGGACACAUCUCAUUAUAGGAAUGUGAACCUUAUGGUCACAUUGCUUCCAUAAUCAAGAAGGAAAGAAUGAUGAACGAUCUUGAGGUACUGGAUUUGUGCAUUUUAUUCAGUCCGAGAUAUACCCCUAGGAAUGGAGCUGCCCAUUUAAGGUUGUCUAUAGGUGUAGAUUUUUCAAAACCAAUUUUAGUAAGGGUUCUCAAACCCUUACCAGAUCCAAGAGGAUCUGGACCUGUUUAAAAGUAGUUCUUUGGAGAUGAUACUAAUCUCCAUUGUCAGGAUUCCAACAGUCCAGUUCAGUAGUGUCAAGAUAACAACAGACCAGUUCACAAAAGAGGAAUUAGCAACUACAGCAUGAGGUAGCAGAAACAACCAGGCCUCUGAUGAAUCACCAUGAGUCAGGAGGAGCACCCAGAACCAGCAGGAAUACCAAGAGUUCUCUGUCAUGCCUCUCUCAAUGAAAUAAAGGUCAGCUAAGAAGCAAGACAAACGAAUAACUGAAUGGCAAGCAAGGCAAUUGUGUGGUCAUUGUUGAGUCUUACUUAUAAUUUCUCCAAGCAUCAUGUGUCCUCUC
rnacentral:lncRNA from 1 species